AGGGGCGUAGUUAAAUGGCAUAACGCGAGACUCCAAAUCUCUAGUUGAGGGUUCGAUUCCUUCCGCCCCUGCCA
rnacentral:tRNA from 1 species